GUUCCAUUCCUCAACCAGGAUUCGUUGCAGGUCAGCCAGCGUGGAAUGUGCUUUAGCCCUGGUUGGAUUCUUUAAGAGGCCAUCCAGCAGGGUGACCAGAGGGGGGGUGGGGGUCAGUGUGUGGUGGCAGUGCCCUCUGUUCAUAGUGAGAUUAGAGGUUGACCUGCCCCCUCUGUUUCCCCCUCAAAGCUCCAACUCCUCCACAAGUGCCCUCUCCCUUUCUUUAACCUCUGAAUGAGCCAGCACUGAAGGAGUUUGUGGGAAUAAAAGACCUCUCCACUCAAGUCUCCCACCUGGUAACAGCACAGUUAAUCGUCUUAAAGCAAGCUAAAUAUUUUGCUCUGUCAGAGUCUUCAAAUCAUUUUCCAACAUCCACAGUGAAUAGACAUUUUUAGUUAUUCUUUCCCACACUUGAUGAUGGUUGAGAUGAUGCCCAGAGAGUUAGUGUAGGGGGAGAGCGGGGUUGGUCGGGACGGCAGAGAGUCAGAGACUUUUUAGUAAGUUAGAAAGCAACUAUGCCAUUCACCAUGUUCACCAUGCGCUCGUACUCAGCCCACCCUCUUCACUUUCAACCUCAAUGUGGGAGACCUUCUGACUGUUCCUCACGUUUUAUUCACAGAUAUAUAACUAUCAAAGGAAGCUCAAUUCCCUCCUUUCCCUUCGAGUUAUCUGGGCCCACGAGGGAGUCUGGGCUUCGUCAGGAGUCACGGUCCCCCUCCCCGAAGAGCCACCCUGAGGAACUCGAGGAAGAGCCCUGAUCCGGGAACAUAAGGAACACCGUCUGACCCCGUCCACACCAGGAAGGACACGCCGCCACAAUGACAGGCUGGAGGAGAGGAAGGAAAAGCAUCAGCAGCAGAAAACGAAGGUCCUUUGUUUGCCUUGUGCCUCGUGAGACGGUCUGUGUUGGCAGAUUUAUGACCGCCAUCCUGAUCAGGACUUAGUGUCAUGGCGGCUGAGAGUACGAGUGCUAUGGAGGGAGAUCUAGGACAGUGGUUCCCCUUUUUCCAUCACUGAGUAAAUUAACAACCCCUGACUAUUUCAUAUUAUAUUCAAUGCAUAACAAUAACGGUACAGAACAACUAAUAAACUGUACAAUUAACCCAAAUAGUGAAUGUAAUACUGCCAUUUGGAUGAAUUUUGAGCAGAUUAUUUCCUGUGUAUUUCCUAUUGCAAUGGAGAUGAGUUUUCCUGUUAUUUUAAGAACUUUUAAUACAAUUCUUUGUCUGUAUUAUGUCGGGGGGGGGGUUCAUUGUUAACAAUCACACAAACUUAAUAGGCUUCUUUCUUCUCCCUGAUGCUUGGUCAUUGUUCCAUUAGCUCUUUGAUUGUUUUAACUGUGUACUUAUCUAAUGCAGGAUGGUUGUUUAGCAGAGAGGGGUGGCUCUGUGUUCAGGUCUUCACCGUGAAACUUAUCCUCUUAAAUAAUAAUCCAAACUUUAAAAAUAACAAUUUCAUUUA